UCACUACUUGCGUAGGCAGUCUCCCUAGAGUGCCCAGCGUAACCUGAUGGCAACUAACAUCAAGGGUUGCGCUCGUUGCGGGACUUAACCCAACAUCUCACGACACGAGCUGACGACAACCAUGCACCACCUGUACCGGACCCUUACGGACCCCCCAUCUCUGGAGGAUUUCCCGGUAUGUCAAGCCUUGGUAAGGUUCUUCGCGUUGCGUCGAAUUAAACCACAUGCUCCGCUGCUUGUGCGGGCCCCCGUCAAUUCCUUUGAGUUUUAGCCUUGCGGCCGUACUCCCCAGGCGGGGCACUUAAUGCGUUAGCUUCGGCACGGAGGGAGUCGACACCCCCCACACCUAGUGCCCAUCGUUUACAGCGUGGACUAC
rnacentral:misc_RNA from 1 species